rnacentral:rRNA from 1 species
ACCUGGUUGAUUCUGCCAGUAGUCAUAUGCUUGUCUCAAAGAUUAAGCCAUGCAUGUCUAAGUAUAAGCAAUUAUACCGUGAAACUGCGAAUGGCUCAUUAAAUCAGUUAUCGUUUAUUUGAUAAUACCUUACUACUUGGAUAACCGUGGUAAUUCUAGAGCUAAUACAUGCUGAAAAUCCCGACUUCGGAAGGGAUGUGUUUAUUAGAUAAAAAACCAAUGCCCUUCGGGGCUCCUUGGUGAUUCAUAAUAACUUUACGGAUCGCAUAGCCUUGCGCUGGCGACGGUUCAUUCAAAUUUCUGCCCUAUCAACUUUCGAUGGUAAGGUAUUGGCUUACCAUGGUUUCAACGGGUAACGGGGAAUUAGGGUUCGAUUCCGGAGAGGGAGCCUGAGAAACGGCUACCACAUCCAAGGAAGGCAGCAGGCGCGCAAAUUACCCAAUCCCGAUUCGGGAGGUAGUGACAAUAAAUACUGAUACAGGGCUCUUUUGGGUCUUGUAAUUGGAAUGAGUACAAUUUAAACCUCUUAACGAGGAACAAUUGGAGGGCAAGUCUGGUGCCAGCAGCCGCGGUAAUUCCAGCUCCAAUAGCGUAUAUUAAAGUUGUUGCAGUUAAAAAGCUCGUAGUUGAAACUUGGGUCUGGCUGGCGGGUCCGCCUCACCGCGUGCACUCGUCCGGCCGGGCCUUCCUUCUGAAGAACCUCAUGCCCUUUACUGGGCGUGUUGGGGAAUCAGGACUUUUACUUUGAAAAAAUUAGAGUGUUCAAAGCAGGCCUUUGCUCGAAUACGUUAGCAUGGAAUAAUAAAAUAGGGCGUGCGUUUCUAUUUUGUUGGUUUCUAGAGACGCCGCAAUGAUUAACAGGAACAGUCGGGGGCAUCAGUAUUCAGUUGUCAGAGGUGAAAUUCUUGGAUUUACUGAAGACUAACUACUGCGAAAGCAUUUGCCAAGGAUGUUUUCAUUAAUCAGUGAACGAAAGUUAGGGGAUCGAAGACGAUCAGAUACCGUCGUAGUCUUAACCGUAAACUAUGCCGACUAGGGAUCGGGCGAUGUUCUUUUUCUGACUCGCUCGGCACCUUACGAGAAAUCAAAGUUUUUGGGUUCUGGGGGGAUUAUGGUCGCAAGGCUGAAACUUAAAGAAAUUGACGGAAGGUCACCACCAGGCGUGGAGCCUGCGGCUUAAUUUGACUCAACACGGGGAAACUCACCAGGUUCAGAUGAAAUAAGGAUUGACAGAUUGAGAGCUCUUUCUUGAUUUUUCAGGUGGUGGUGCAUGGCCGUUCUUAGUUCGUGGGGUGACUUGUCUGCUUAAUUGCGAUAACGAGCGAGACCUUACUCUGCUAAAUAGCCAGGCUAGCUUUGGCUGGUCGCCGGCUUCUUAGAGAGACUAUCAACUCAAGUUGAUGGAAGUUUGAGGCAAUAACAGGUCUGUGAUGCCCUUAGAUAUUCUGGGCCGCACGCGCGCUACACUGACAGAGCCAACGAGUUCUUUCCCUUGGCCGAAAGGUCUGGGUAAUCUUGUUAAACUCUGUCGUGCUGGGGAUAAAGCAUUGCAAUUAUUGCUUUUCAACGAGGAAUGCCUAGUAAGCGCGUGUCAUCAGCAUGCGUUGAUUACGUCCCUGACCUUUGUACACACCGCCCGUCGCUACUACCGAUUGAAUGGCUCAGUGAGGCCUUCGGACUGGCUCGGGAGGUUGGCAACGACCACCCCAAGCCGGAAAGUUGGUCAAACUCGGUCAUUUAGAGGAAGUAAAAGUCGUAACAAGGUCUCCGUAGGUGAACCUGCGGAGGGAUCAUUA